UCGAGACUUAAGUCUCAAGUUCCAUGAUAGGUUUUAGUUCUCUUUUUUCGUAUCAUAUUGCAUUUUCAUAUUAAACAAAAAAGUUUUACCUUUUUAAUAAAGUAUACUGGUUGUGAUUUCUUUCAACGAAUGUGGAGGGAAUGUUGGAGAUGAUGUCCAUAUUCCCAUUUCUCAAUGGGUUAUACAAAUUGGAAACUAAAAUCCCGACAUUUUCUUUACAGACAAAGGUCGAAGAAGAAAUAAAUAGUACAAAGAAUGCAUGCUGGAUCGGAGAACAUCUUUUGAGAAAGUGAAGUGAAAAGGCAUGCGAUGCAUGGUCAUUCAAAAAAGUGAUGGAUGUGAAUAUUCGAAUGACCAGCGUAAAAAAUCUUUAUCCAUCAACUAACUGCAACUAGCAAACAAGAGCGUCCUUUUUAUUUUUCUUUCUUAAUUUUAGAAAGGAGGAACUCUCUUUUCCGCUUGGUGCUUGUUCUUUUUUGCUUCCUUAAAGCUUGAAAACUCUUAUUAAAAGUGAUUAUUUUCUUUUC